GAUGAACGCCGGCGGCGUGCCUAAUACAUGCAAGUCGAGCGAACAGACGAGGAGCUUGCUCCUCUGACGUUAGCGGCGGACGGGUGAGUAACACGUGGAUAACCUACCUAUAAGACUGGGAUAACUUCGGGAAACCGGAGCUAAUACCGGAUAAUAUAUUGAACCGCAUGGUUCAAUAGUGAAAGACGGUUUUGCUGUCACUUAUAGAUGGAUCCGCGCCGCAUUAGCUAGUUGGUAAGGUAACGGCUUACCAAGGCAACGAUGCGUAGCCGACCUGAGAGGGUGAUCGGCCACACUGGAACUGAGACACGGUCCAGACUCCUACGGGAGGCAGCAGUAGGGAAUCUUCCGCAAUGGGCGAAAGCCUGACGGAGCAACGCCGCGUGAGUGAUGAAGGUCUUCGGAUCGUAAAACUCUGUUAUUAGGGAAGAACAAAUGUGUAAGUAACUAUGCACGUCUUGACGGUACCUAAUCAGAAAGCCACGGCCAACUACGUG
rnacentral:rRNA from 1 species